rnacentral:lncRNA from 1 species
NNUUCUUCUCUCUCUCUCUCUCUCUCUCUCUCUCUCUCUCCCCAGUCCGGGAGAUCAAGGCCUCGCUCCAAGACUCUAUCGGGUUCGUCUCAUCUUUAAGUAAUUCUCAUCUUCUUUUAUCUCCGAUUUGAGCGGUAGUUUUCGUGAUCUGGAUCGGGUUUUGAUUCCAGAUGUCUCGCGCUUCGCGUUUUAUUUACUUCAGACCUUGUUCUGCUUAAAUCUAUAUGUUUGUUGUGGCUAUGUUAGAUUCGGCGAUAAUUUAAGUCAAUCCAUGCCAAUAGAUUUUUAUUUUGGUGAUAUAUUAUUGUGAGUGUUGAAUAUAGGCAUUUAGAAUUCUAUUCCCUGUUCCUUCUUUGUUAGUAUUGGUCUGAUGUUAUUAGAAAGGUCUAUUCAAGCUCGAUCAAGUUUUGGUUAUCAGUUGGAGUUCUUAAUAGCAUAUUUGGAUGCUGUGUGCUUUUGAUUGUGCUAAGCUCUUCAGAAUUUUGGAUUCAGGAUGGACUUUUCUUUGGACUAAUUUAUCUUUUGAUUGGGUUUGCUUUUGAUUCCUAUUAUUAUAUUUUGUUUGUUCUUCUGAAACUUCUGCCACUCUUAUUCUUUCUAAACUUUAAAUCCUUAAAACAUUUGAUCUAAGGAUAGCCAGCUUUAAAUUAUCCUGUGAGGGAUUGGUCGUUCCCUGCGUUUUUUGUUUUUCAAUUAGCUAUAGUAUUUUGAGCCCUUAAAAAUUAGUUUCCAGUUUGAACUAACUUAGGGGCUUUAGGUUCUGUAAAAGACCUGACCAAGGUGUAAGACCACUCUGGAGUCUGGAGCAAGUCUUCUUUUUUCCUCCACUUCUUCUCCUUGAAUGUUCUCUUCUCUUUUCCUCUUUUUUCUGCACUUAGCCAGCAUAAGUCUACUUCAAAUAAGAGUCUCUAAAAGGCAACAGCUCUUUUUAGUUCUUCCUGCAUACAGCCACAACUAUCAGAAUUCGCAGCCACGAGCUUGAAUAAGGGCCUGUUUGGAUAUUCUUACAGAAUUAAGCUGAAAAUUCUGCAGGAUUCGUGAAUUGAGCCGCCUAUUUAAGGGCCUGUUUGGGUGUCCCUACAGAAUUGAAUUGAAAAUCCUGUAGGUUUUGUGGAUUUGGCCAUUUACUUAAGCAUUGCCCUAUAUCAACCAAAUACCACCCAGCCCAAAUCCUAUGGGAAGGGGAAAAAAAGACCUCUAUAGAUCUAUUUUUUUCUUCCUACAGCGACAAAGGUUAGGAUCUAGACUGGAUUUGGAUAGGCACUUGGAAAAUGCAAACUAGAUGGGCCAACAGGCCCGAUUCCAAUUAAAUUUUCAACCCAAUUCUGUAGGAAUAUCCAAAUAGGCUCUAAGUGUUUUAGGGCUGACUUAGCUCAAAUUUUGUUUAACUGGGCUGACUUGGUCUGCUAUUGAAGCAGCCACUUUAGGCCCUUCCCGAUAUCCAAUUCAACCUCUUAAUUGUCCAGAAGCAUAUCCAUCUCAACCCUAAAUGCAGCUCUUUACAGAGACCCCAGCACACUUAUUGUGACCGGUCUGCUAAUAGAUCUAUAAUCAGUAGGCUAGUCUGUUGCAGAUGUCAGUCUGGCUGUUAUUUGACUCCCAAAACUUUCCUCAGUUGUCCUUCAAGCUCGAACCCUUGUUAACUUUUGCAUAAAAUACCUUCAUUAUAAUCAAUAACCCUUCAGUAUCUCCUAAUAUAAAGUGAUAGUUGAGCUCGGGAGGAUCUUAGAAACUGUUUAGGCUUGAGAGGAUCUUCAGAUCAGGUUGCAGUCUGCUAAACCUCCUCUCAUUCUUCUAAUUUCUCAUAUUAUUCUCCUCUUUCUUGUGGUGCCUUUCUGUCUCUCCCUUUCCUUAAUUUAAUUACCCUCUUUCUGAUAGAGCACAACAGUAGUAUUGCUGUUUGUCAGUUCUGAGAAAGAUCUGAGGCUGUUUCAAGCUAGCAGCUGAGAGAAAGGCUCGAAGAUUGGACAUAUAGAGAUCAAACUUCAUCCCUAGCAUUUGUCUGGGUUAUGUCACUAGGGCUACUGUUUGUUGUUGUGUAGUCUUAAGCUUGGGCUUAUCAUAUAGUAUUUCAUGCUUCGAUCUUUAGUUUUUAGACACCAGAAUAUCUCAGUAUUAGAAAUGCCCUAGAAGCCAAUUUUGCUGACGCAUUAUUUUGUUCUAAGAUAUAAAUUUAUGCUUGACCUAAUUAUGAAUUUAUUAAGUUGGGCAUUCUUAUCAUUCAUGUUCUUUUGUGUCCAUGAAUCGUCCAAAGAAUUAAUAAGAUGAUGACACAUAUUCUCAAGAGUUGAGAAUUUGAGGCAUGUGUCAUUGGUGAUUAACUCCUGAAUUGCUCCUGAUCGAUGGAUCAUCGCGAGGACGAUCGAUCCGCUGAGAUUAGUGCAUAGAUCACUUUCUUUGAUGAACGAGUCUUGAGUCCAUAGUGUGGGGACACUGGAGUGAUUAUGCAAGUUCUUAUUAGAGAACAAGAGUGCUGAGCGUAACCAUAGCAAGUAGUUACUUGGAUGUCUAAUCCACUCGUCAGUAACUUACUUGAUGCUGUAGUUGUAUAACUGGUCCUUUGACCUGUGAUGCCUCGGCUAUUCACAGUAAGGUUGCUAUAGUUUGACGAACACACAAUCAUGGACCCUACCAUUUGGAUCCUUGUGGUGCAGAUUGGUUGCAGUAGGUUCAUUGUAGGAGUAAGGUGCAUUUAGAUGGAAUCUAUCGACCUUGAUAGAUUAUGAAAGAUCCUAUAUGAUUUAUAAAACUGAGUUCAUAAAUCCUUGGCCAAAGUAGUUUUUGGAAAAGAGUUUCCAAUCUCGAACUAGAGUCGAAUAAAUUUUACAUAUGACAAAUGAUGAGGUUUGACGAGUUAUCCAUGACCUCCAUCUCGUCGGGAUCCACGAUAGAGGGACUGUAUCAUACACCAACUGCACCUACAGGUUCAUCUAUUCCAUUCUGCUGGGUAGUCACUACAUGCUACUAGGUGUCAUUGGUAGAUUGUGAGACUCAAAAGCAUUCACUUGAUCAGUGAACCAGAAUGAGAGGAGUUAGAAUUGUUCCAACCUAUUGAAAGAAGUUUUAAUGAUAUUGUGAUAGUGAUCACAAUAUAUCGCACUACCAGACAGAAUAAAAUCUAUGGGGUCACACAUAAUAGAGGAUCUGAUCGAUCUGAUGGUUGGAUUAUGAUUUGGAAUCACAAUAGUUGGUAAUUAUCAAUUUGAUUGGUAAUUGGCUUAACCCACUAAGAAUUAGUGAGUUGAAGAAGGAAUUAAUUGUAAUUGGAUUGCAAUUUGAUUGAAUCAAUUAGGCUUAAUUAAUUGGGCUCGAUCUUAUUUGAUAAGGUUCAAGAGUCCUACUUAGAGUAAGACUCCUAGAGUUCUAAUUGGAUUACGACUUUAAAUUAUUAGAGUCCUAUCCGGAGUAGGAUUCCUAAAGUCCUAAUUGGAUUAGGACUAAAAUUAUAUGAGUCCAAUUGGAUUAGGACUCCUAGAGUUCUAAUUAAUUAUUGGUCUAAUAGAUGAAGAUGACUCCUAAUUGGAUUAGAAUUGAAGAGUUCAAUUGAGUCAUGAUCCAAUUGAGUCCUAAUUAGAUUAGGACUCCAAGAGUCAUAAUUGAUUUAAUCUUAUGGAUAAGGAUCUUGAAUCAAAUAGAAAGACUAAUUGGGUCCUAAUUAGAUUAGGAUUCAAUGAACCAAGGGCCACCUAAAUCCUAAUUUGAUUAGGAUUAGAAGGGAGGGGCAAGAACCCCUCCUUUCCCUGGGUACUCUUGGGAUCCGCAUCCCGGUUGUCCGGGACGCGCGUCCCGGGUGUCCGCGAGACCCGGUUGGGGCGUGGCUCCUUCUAAUUUUAAGAAGGACGCCACGCCUAGGGCAUUUAGAUGAAAAGAAAUAAAAAAGGGGCCAGCCACCCUUGGGUCUGGGGCUUUCCUUUUCAUCAUGGCGGCCAUCUCUCCCUCUCUUCCUUCUUCCAUCCGCAAGGGCCAAAGAAAAGGGGCAGCAAGCAAGAUUGGAGUCAUCUUCUUCCUCCUCUUCUUCAGCUGCAUGGAAGAAAACAUAGAGAGGAAGGUGUUCCUCUCUUCCUCCUUCCAAGAAAAAGAGAAAGCGUUUCUCUCUCCUUCUUCCUCCUCUUGAGAGCAAUCAAGAGUUGAUUGCUUAAAGAAGUUCCAACUAUCAAAAGAAAUCUCUGCACGGGAGCUAGCACCCCAGUGAGAUCGUAACCUCGAUCAAUCCUGAUCUUCGUGUGGAUACCCGUAUAGGUCGGACACUUGUACGGUUUCAAGCGAAUCCAAUUUCCACGAUCAUCAGAUAGCGGUGAAGAUCUACCCGCUCAAAGGUAAAAAUUUGAUCUUUAUAUUUUUUAAUUAUAGAUAUGAAAUUAAUCAAAUAAUUUAAUUUUAAUAUUUUCUUAGAUUUCAUAAUCUUCUGAGUUAGAAAAUUUAGAAUUUUUUUGAAAUCUACGUUCCCUAAGACGUUAAUGUGAUGAACGACCCCGCGCGUAUAUUUCUGCUGCAAUCAUCGCAACGCAUAUGGGGGUAACCCAACACUCAGCAGCAGUUUAUCUGCAUGUGCAAUUAGUUUGGUUUAUUUCCUUUGUAUUAAAUUGCUUGAUCAGCCAUAGUGUAUUAUAUAUACAUAUAUAUGAUCGUCAUCAAAUUGGAGAUUAAAUUGGACAGAUAAGGGCAAACAGAAUUGAAUAAUUAGAGGAAUUUGCCGAUUGCCAGUUCAAAUGGGGUUUUCAUGAAUCUUCAUGCUUUUAGGAGUUGUUAACAUAUCCUAAAAUCAUUGACUUAUGCAAGAUUGAAAGGUUUUCUAUUUCAGUGGACAUUAAUAACUAAUUUCACGUUAGGUUACUCUCACAUGUGAGGUCUCUCAUCUUUCUAAGAAGUUCUGAUUACUGCAGGUUAUUGGUGAGGCACUGAGGCUCUACCUCACUCGAAUUAAAAAGAGAAUAUAUGAUAAUUCUGGACACGACAAAUGAAUAUAGGCAUCUAGGAUGUAUUGAAUUGGGUCUAUGAAAUAGCUACUGCUAUAUUAGGACAUUCUGUAUGGUUAGCCGAUGUGUCCACCAUUUGUGGCUGACCACCCUUAAGGUAAGUCUGGUGAAGUUUCCUUGUUUCCAAAUUGCUAAGAUUUUAGCAACCUAUAUUCUAAUUUUGUUCAAUCUUUUUUUCUUUUCUACCUUCCUAUGUUUUUAUUUAGUUAUGUUGAUUCUUCUUAUCUAGAUUUAUCAGGUAAAGGGAAAUUGUUAACCAGUCCAUGAUCUGUAGAGACUGGUUGAUCGCUUGUAUUUACGAAAAGGUUGCUUGGAUUUAUCCAUGGUUUAUUCUUUAUCUUUAAAAUUUGAUUUCUUUAUUCAUUUCAGAUCUGACCGAAAUAGGCUGCUCGAACAUCANNN